ACUCCUACGGGAGGCAGCAGUGGGAAUAUUGGACAAUGGGGGACCCGUAGCUCCAGCCAUGCCGCGUGUGUGAAGAAGGCCUUAUGGUUGUAAAGCACUUUAAGCGAGGAGGAGGCUACUGAGACUAAUACUCUUGGAUAGUGGACGUUACUCGCAGAAUAAGCACCGGCUAACUCUGUGCCAGCAGCCGCGGUAAUACGGGGUGG
rnacentral:rRNA from 1 species